UGAGGAAUAUUGGUCAAUGGGCGAGAGCCUGAACCAGCCAAGUCGCGUGAAGGAAGACGGCCCUACGGGUUGUAAACUUCUUUUGUAGGGGGAUAAAAAAGAGUACGUGUACUCUCUUGUAGGUACCCUACGAAUAAGGAUCGGCUAACUCCGUG
rnacentral:rRNA from 1 species